rnacentral:rRNA from 1 species
CUGUAAGCCUGUGAAGGUGUGCUGUGAGGCAUGCUGGAGGUAUCAGAAGUGCGAAUGCUGACAUAAGUAACGAUAAAGCGGGUGAAAAGCCCGCUCGCCGGAAGACCAAGGGUUCCUGUCCAACGUUAAUCGGGGCAGGGUGAGUCGACCCCUAAGGCGAGGCCGAAAGGCGUAGUCGAUGGGAAACAGGUUAAUAUUCCUGUACUUGGUGUUACUGCGAAGGGGGGACGGAGAAGGCUAUGUUGGCCGGGCGACGGUUGUCCCGGUUUAAGCGUGUAGGCUGGUUUUCCAGGCAAAUCCGGAAAACUAAGGCUGAGGCGUGAUGACGAGGCACUACGGUGCUGAAGCAACAAAUGCCCUGCUUCCAGGAAAAGCCUCUAAGCAUCAGGUAACAUCAAAUCGUACCCCAAACCGACACAGGUGGUCAGGUAGAGAAUACCAAGGCGCUUGAGAGAACUCGGGUGAAGGAACUAGGCAAAAUGGUGCCGUAACUUCGGGAGAAGGCACGCUGAUAUGUAGGUGAAGUCCCUCGCGGAUGGAGCUGAAAUCAGUCGAAGAUACCAGCUGGCUGCAACUGUUUAUUAAAAACACAGCACUGUGCAAACACGAAAGUGGACGUAUACGGUGUGACGCCUGCCCGGUGCCGGAAGGUUAAUUGAUGGGGUCAGCGCAAGCGAAGCUCUUGAUCGAAGCCCCGGUAAACGGCGGCCGUAACUAUAACGGUCCUAAGGUAGCGAAAUUCCUUGUCGGGUAAGUUCCGACCUGCACGAAUGGCGUAAUGAUGGCCAGGCUGUCUCCACCCGAGACUCAGUGAAAUUGAACUCGCUGUGAAGAUGCAGUGUACCCGCGGCAAGACGGAAAGACCCCGUGAACCUUUACUAUAGCUUGACACUGAACAUUGAGCCUUGAUGUGUAGGAUAGGUGGGAGGCUUUGAAGUGUGGACGCCAGUCUGCAUGGAGCCGACCUUGAAAUACCACCCUUUAAUGUUUGAUGUUCUAACGUUGACCCGUAAUCCGGGUUGCGGACAGUGUCUGGUGGGUAGUUUGACUGGGGCGGUCUCCUCCUAAAGAGUAACGGAGGAGCACGAAGGUUGGCUAAUCCUGGUCGGACAUCAGGAGGUUAGUGCAAUGGCAUAAGCCAGCUUGACUGCGAGCGUGACGGCGCGAGCAGGUGCGAAAGCAGGUCAUAGUGAUCCGGUGGUUCUGAAUGGAAGGGCCAUCGCUCAACGGAUAAAAGGUACUCCGGGGAUAACAGGCUGAUACCGCCCAAGAGUUCAUAUCGACGGCGGUGUUUGGCACCUCGAUGUCGGCUCAUCACAUCCUGGGGCUGAAGUAGGUCCCAAGGGUAUGGCUGUUCGCCAUUUAAAGUGGUACGCGAGCUGGGUUUAGAACGUCGUGAGACAGUUCGGUCCCUAUCUGCCGUGGGCGCUGGAGAACUGAGGGGGGCUGCUCCUAGUACGAGAGGACCGGAGUGGACGCAUCACUGGUGUUCGGGUUGUCAUGCCAAUGGCACUGCCCGGUAGCUAAAUGCGGAAGAGAUAAGUGCUGAAAGCAUCUAAGCACGAAACUUGCCCCGAGAUGAGUUCUCCCUGACUCCUUGAGAGUCCUGAAGGAACGUUGAAGACGACGACGUUGAUAGGCCGGAUGUGUAAGCGCAGCGAUGCGUUGAGCUAACCGGUACUAAUGAACCGUGAGGCUUAACCUUACAACGCCGAAGGUGUUU